AUGCUAAUAUUUUAAGGCAAUAUGAUAUUAGGAAAAUAUAAGGUAUACACUGACUGUAAACAGAAUUCUCGUUGGCAAUGUAUGCAGCCUGUUGCUUGUGUGGGUGGCCCUGAGGGACCUUUGAGACAGUC